UUCAUCUGUACGGCGAUGGGGGCCGCAAUUUCGGAUCCUCGUGUGUCCGAAGACGGCCCUUUGAAACACAGGUACUACUCAUGUUUGCCAGUUGAGUGGACUGGAGCAACGUGAAAUAAAGUGUCUUGCUCAAGGAUACAAUACGCCGCCUGGAAUUGAACUCACGACCUUACGAUCGUGAGCCGAAUGCCCUAACGACUAAGCCACGCGCCUUCACUUAUUCAUAUAUAAGUAUACCGACGUAUUCAUAUAUACGUAUACCUACGCAUACAUAUAGAUAUGAACAUAUAACACAUAUGGACGUCAGCAUUCCACGUCCAUCCUCUACAAGGUGGAACUUUAACAUACGGACCGUGAGCAGAAUUCAUGAAAAUUUGCAACCUUUAAAAAACUGCCUUACUGAAAUUCAUUCAACAUCAAAUGCAGAUCAAACCAUUGCAGAAGCAACAGGAAUUUUAAAAUACCUGAAUGAUGAUAGUUUUAUGUUUUGGUUAGAUUAUGCUUCAUGUUGAAAUAAUUGUUGAACUAAAUGUAAUCUCGAGAAAUUAGUGUGUUUGAAGUCAGUGAAUAUAUAACAGAUUUUAGAAAUAAGUAACUCGAUGUACUGUGAGAAUCCUUCAAAGGCACUCAUGGCAGAAGCAAAGGAAGUGUGUGACUGCAUAUGUGUUGAUAUAAUGGACAGAUAUUCAUCCACUAAACACUUAAUAGUUGUUAAAUUGUUCAACAAGAAAAGCUUCACUAGUUUUAAGAAUGGACUGCCUACAGAAGAGAUAGUACUGACCAGUAAAGCAUAUCCCAUGAUUGACAAAGAAAGGCUUGAAACGGAACUGAAAAUAUUCUCAUGUAGAUCCUAUAUACGCAUGAAUAUUGCAAAAUAAUUAAGCUGCUGGAAUUUAUCUUGGAAAAUAAUCUAGAUGGUGUUCUUAGUGAAAUUACGAAACAGAUAAAAUUGUCCUCUUGACAAUUCCCAUGACUACAUCAUAGGCAGGACUCUUCUUUUCAACACUGAAAAGAAUAAAAACUUUUCUAAGGAGCACUAUGAAUCCUGAAAGACUAAAUGCACUUGCAGUGCUUUCAAAGGAGAAACAUUUCCUCGACAGUCAUCCAUUGAUCAAGGAGAAAAUUAUUAACCUUUUCGCUAAAAGUAAAACAAGAAGAGUGGGUUUAAUUUUUAAAUGAAUGGAUCAACCUCGAACUGUAACAGCUUAUUAAUAAAUCAUGGAGAUUGCAAAAUUCUUCUGUUUGUUGGUGAUGCCUUGAACAGUUUGGUUAGGGAAAAGCGUCUCUCUUUGUACUGAAGAAAUUCCAGACAUAAAAAGGCCUGUUAUUUGGGAAAGCAAUAAUAAUGAAUAUAAUUGUGAUACAACCUGCGGUAAUGCCACCAACUUUGCAAUUACUCAUGCUGGUAACAUUUCUACUCUUUGGAUCAGGAAUGUAUCAUGGGAGUUUUCGACAUGGAUAUAUUUCGAUGCUAACUUUAACUUUGGUGUAAUUGAUUUACAGAUAAAUGUGAAACCAAAGAUUGAGAUCAUGAAUGAAACAGAUUGUAUAUACAAUGUAACAGCACAAUGUUCUUUACCUGUGACACAUAUAGACUGUUUUAUUGGAAAGGCACCUUUAACAUUUACUUCAAACAGAAUAUUAAAUUGUUCUGAUGGAAAAACGUUCACCAACAGUGCUGAACUAAUUCUCGAUCCACCAGUUACUGGAAAACUGAAAUGUAAUUUUACUAUGGACAGCUUAUUCAGUGAUAAACGAACCAUAAAAAUUAAA